CCAGUGCUCUCACAUGACUAUACAAGCCAUGUUAAAGCACUGCUGUGGCAGCGCUUUAAUGUUGCCAGUGUAGACACGCCCAAAAUUAAUGCUGCAAUAGGAUCAUCAGACAGUAACCGGAGAGCUAAAAUCACCCCGACGUUAGAAUUCCUAGAAAUUAAUGAUGGACACGCUCCCUCAGUCAAAGGGCUUAAUCAUCACAAGUAAUCUGGGGUGGAUAUACACCAAAACCAAAUUGUGACACUUCUUGAUUCAGGUAGCCUGCAAAAGUGUAACUUAAUACCCACUUCUACCUGUGGAGCUGCAUUUCUGACCUGCAAGACACACCUACAGAGCCUACCCCCAGCCUAGAAGACACAGCUGAAUCCCUGGGACUUAGAACCUUAUCAACAAGCUGAAGAGGUACCAGCCAGUGUCUCGGAUUUUUAAGUGACACUUUAGUCACUAGCUGUACAGUCUCUAGUUUACAAGAUGAGGAUACAAAGUUAUUAGCUUAAAGCUAGUCAUCUGAUUUUCCCCAGGAAGAACAACAAACAAUGAGAGACAUCCAGGACACAAGAGUGUUUCAGUGCAUAUCUAAUUGCUGGAAAUCACUCCCAGAGGUCACUUGGGAGCGUGGGUAUUGGGGCUAAUACUGCAAAUCCAAUGAGAAAAGCACUGAAGGCACUUUUAAAGCAAAGAAACUCCAAGAAGCCCAGGACUUCUGAUUUCAUUUUUAAAGGCCAGAGGCUACAUCUUAGAAAAGCAGCUAAGUCUGAAUGGGAUGAAAAUAGUUGGCCUCAUUCAGCUUUUCAAAACCGGUGACUAAACCAAGGAAAAGGUCAGAAAUGCUGGCACACAGCCAAAUCUUGCUGAUAACAUGUACUGAUGGAUUCCAUCAACUAGCCUUGAUGGAGAGAGUUGAUAUCAGGAGACAAUCACCGCCCUGAAGCAUUAUGAGAUUGAAGACACAGUGAGCAGCAUUUAACCAGAGGAACACAUGCAGCCCUGGGAAAGCAAUUAAUAUUCUAGUUUGCUCAGAAGAAAUCUAAUAAAUGCCCUACUACCAAGUAA